CCUACGGGUGGCAGCAGUGAGGAAUAUUGGUCAAUGGACGAGAGUCUGAACCAGCCAAGCAGCGUGCAGGAUGACUGCCCUAUGGGUUGUAAACUUCUUUUGUAUGGGAGUAAAUUGUUCUACGUGUGGGAUGUUGUAUGUACCAUAUGAAUAAGGAUCGGCUAACUCCGUGCCAGCAGCCGCGGUAAUACGGAGGAUCCGAGCGUUAUCCGGAUUUAUUGGGUUUAAAGGGAGCGUAGAUGGGUCGAUAAGUCAGUUGUGAAAGUCCGCGGCUCAACCGUAGAAUUGCAAUUGAUACUGGCGGGCUUGAGUACAGUUGCGGUAGGCGGAAUUCGUGGUGUAGCGGUGAAAUGCAUAGAUAUCACGAAGAACACCGAUUGCGAAGGCAGCUUACUAAACUACGACUGACGUUGAUGCUCGAAAGUGUGGGUAGCAAACAGGAUUAGAUACCCCAGUAGUC
rnacentral:rRNA from 1 species